AGAGUUUGAUCCUGGCUCAGGAUGAACGCUGGCGGCAUGCCUAAUACAUGCAAGUCGAACGAGGGUCCUUCGGGACUCGAGUGGCGAACGGGUGAGUAACACGUAGGGAACCUGCCCGUGCGACCGGGAGAACUUUCGGAAACGGAAGCUGAUACCGGAUAGGGACAGAGACGGCAUCGACUCUGUGUUAAAGGAGCUGAAAGGCUCCGCGCACGGAUGGACCUGCGGUGCAUUAGCUGGUUGGUGAGGUAACGGCCCACCAAGGCGACGAUGCAUAGCCGGCCUGAGAGGGCGGACGGCCACACUGGGACUGAGACACGGCCCAGACUCCUACGGGAGGCAGCAGUAGGGAAUUUUCGUCAAUGGGCGCAAGCCUGAACGAGCAAUGCCGCGUGAACGAGGAAGGUCUUCGGAUCGUAAAGUUCUGUUGAAGGGGAAAAAGAGCGGAGAGAGGAAAUGGUCUCCGAUUGAUAUUACCCUUCGAGGAAGUCACGGCUAACUACGUGCCAGCAGCCGCGGUAAUACGUAGGUGGCGAGCGUUAUCCGGAAUGAUUGGGCGUAAAGGGUGCGUAGGCGGCCUGCUAAGUCUGGAGUGAAAGGUACCGGCUCAACCGGUACAGGCUCUGGAAACUGGCGGGCUAGAGAGCAGGAGAGGGCGGUGGAACUCCAUGUGUAGCGGUAAAAUGCGUAGAUAUAUGGAAGAACACCAGUGGCGAAGGCGGCCGCCUGGCCUGUUACUGACGCUGAGGCACGAAAGCGUGGGGAGCAAAUAGGAUUAGAUACCCUAGUAGUCCACGCCGUAAACGAUGAGGACCAAGUGUUGGGGAAGACCCAGUGCUGCAGUUAACGCAGUGAGUCCUCCGCCUGGGGAGUAUGCACGCAAGUGUGAAACUCAAAGGAAUUGACGGGGGCCCGCACAAGCGGUGGAGUACGUGGUUUAAUUCGAAGCAGCGCGAAGAACCUUACCAGGCCUUGACAUAGGGUGCGAAGCUAUGGAGACAUAGUGGAGGUAAACAUCCAUACAGGUGGUGCAUGGUUGUCGUCAGCUCGUGUCGUGAGAUGUUCAGUUAAGUCUGGCAACGAGCGCAACCCUCGUGAUGUGUUACCAAUAUCGAGUUAGGGACUCACAUCAGACUGCCGGUGAGAAACCGGAGGAAGGCGGGGAUGACGUCAAAUCAUCAUGCCCCUUAUGGCCUGGGCUACACACGUACUACAAUGGCGGCGACAGAGGGCAGCGAGCCUGCGAAGGCAAGCGAAUCCCCAAAAAGCCGUCCCAGUUCGGAUUGGAGUCUGCAACCCGACUCCAUGAAGUUGGAAUCGCUAGUAAUCGCGGAUCAGCAUGCCGCGGUGAAUACGUUCUCGGGCCUUGCACACACCGCCCGUCAA
rnacentral:rRNA from 1 species